UGGGUAACCUGCCUCAAAGAGGGGAAUAGCCUCCCGAAAGGGAGAUUAAUACCGCAUAAUAUGUUUUAGUCGCAUGACUUAAACAUCAAAGGAUUUUCUUUUAAGAAAUUCCACUUUGAGAUGGACCCGCGGCGCAUUAGCUAGUUGGUGAGGUAACGGCUCACCAAGGCAACGAUGCGUAGCCGACCUGAGAGGGUGAUCGGCCACAUUGGAACUGAGACACGGUCCAGACUCCGUAGGAG
rnacentral:rRNA from 1 species